rnacentral:rRNA from 1 species
CCCUUUGGCCUGGAAUAACACGAGGAAACUUGUGCUAAUACCGGAUAAGUCUUUACGGAGAAAGCUUUAUGCACCAUUGGAUGAGCCCGCACUUGAUUAGUUUGUUGGUGGGGUAAUGGCCUACCAAGACUGUGAUCAAUAGCUGAUUUGAGAGGAUGAUCAGCCACAUUGGGACUGAGCACGGCCCAACCUCUUACGGGAGGCAGCAGUGGGGAAUCUUGCACAAUGGAGGAAACUCUGAUGCAGCGAUGCCGCGUGAGUGAAGAAGGCCUUUGGGUUGUAAAGCUCUUUCGUCGGGGAAGAAAAUGAC